rnacentral:misc_RNA from 1 species
AAGUCGUAACAAGGUUUCCGUAGGUGAACCUGCUGUGAACCUUCAGGGUCCGUUAGAAAAAGCAGCAAUCCCUGGUAAAUCAUCGCCGAACAGUUUUCGAUUCAGGGACGUCUGCAAGGAGCGUGCAUGUUGUGCGAAGCAAGUGGCCUGGCAGUCUGAAAGCGUCAUUAACUGUGUAAGGAUGACGCAGUCACGAUCGUUGGAGGCCCACACGGCCGACGACCGGGUCACUGGCAAGCCCCCCUAUAACAAACGCUGCUAAUCGCGGCCGCGAUCAUACGCAGUCGACCAAAAACCGAACAACUGUUAACAAUGGAUAUCUUGGUUCUC